ensembl:rRNA 5S_rRNA 5S ribosomal RNA
GCCAGCAGCCAUAUUACCCUGCAACUCACAACUGGCAACCCACUGAAGCUCAGCAGGUGUGAGCCUGGUCAGUACCUGGAUGGGAGACCUCCUGGGAAAAACUAAGGUUGCUGCUGGAA